rnacentral:rRNA from 1 species
UACGUAGGGUGCAAGCGUUGUCCGGAAUUAUUGGGCGUAAAGAGCUUGUAGGCGGUUUGUCGCGUCUGCUGUGAAAUUUCGGGGCUCAACCCCGAACUUACAGUGGGUACGGGCAGACUAGAGUGUGGUAGGGGAGACUGGAAUUCCUGGUGUAGCGGUGAAAUGCGCAGAUAUCAGGAGGAACACCGAUGGCGAAGGCAGGUCUCUGGGCCAUAACUGACGCUGAGAAGCGAAAGCAUGGGGAGCGAACAGG